UUCUUUUUGCGGCAAUUAUUCGUCUGUUCGUUCGUCGAACUUGUGCCGUUUGCCGUUUUCGUUUUUUUGCUUUCGCAGUCGUCGUCAUUAUUAGUUCUAAAACUGUGAAAAAUUCCAAGUGACUGAUGUAAAAGUGAAAAAUAUGGCGAGUCUUGUGGGCGAACAGCAAAUUUCAUCAAAUAACCAAGAAGCUGAACCAGUUCAGAAAGUCGAUAGUCGAGAAGGCAGUGUCGAACGCAAAGUGAGUAAAGACCGUGACGAGAAGCUAAAGUUGGCACGGGAGCGUCAAAAUGAAGAAAGACAAAGGAAAAUCGAAGAGCUAAAAGCGCAAGCGGAAGCGGCGCAACGAUAUCGCGAACAAAAAGAAGAGGAACGUCGCCGCCGCAUAGAGGAGAUACGACAACGCGACACGGAGAAGCGACACCAAGUCGAAGAACGUAAACGCGCCAUAACCGAGGCGGAAAAGGAGCGCCGCGAAUAUAUAUUGCGGAAGAAUCAGGAACGCGAAUCCCGCUUGGAAACAAAGAAAGGUCCGCGCAGUACAGUGGCCUUUGCUUUCGGCUCGUCGACACCUCGCUUACUGGAGCCCGAUUUUGGACUGGUAUCGCCAAGCACUUAUCUGGGUCAUCGACGGUCGACGUCGAUCUCUAAUGUUACUGGUGCUUCAUUAUCACGUCGUAGUUCUGAACGUGAACUGACCGACAGUGGUGCCAAGAAGCGUGCAACAUCGGCCGGUGGCACGGAUCGGCAUGAAGAUCAUCGUCGUAAGUCAUCAUCCAUGUAUGAAGUUUUCAAUUGGGGAUACUCGAACGAUGAGCCACCCAAACGUUUUUCCCUCUCCAUUGUGGGCAGUGAAAUCAAUAUUGAUGAUCCCCCAGCUGCCACAGCCACAGCAGGCCAUGUACGCACUUACACUGCUCAUCAUCAGGCACAGCAGCAUCAGCACGGCAACAACAACAACAACCAAAGUAUAACAAAUACAAGUGCGCACAGACAAAAUGUUGCAAUAGACUCUACAAGAGCAGCUACAGCAGCAGCAGCAACAACAACAACAACCACAAGCACAGCUGGCAAAAGCAGUCAAUCGGCUACAGCAGCAACGACAUUUAAUUACUCUAACGAUAGUGUCGAUAGUCAUGCAACACAAAUUGUGUUUAGAAGUGUAGCCCGCAGAAAAACCGAUUUGAUGCCGACAAUACCCAGCCCCAGGGACGGGCAUUACGGUUCCAGAUCGUCACUGAGCCACACGCCACGCACCCCAGGACGUGCCUUCUCCAUGAGUCGUCUGGAUCAAUUGGCUCAACCGAUACGCCGCAAUGGCGAGCACAUACGCGCCAUACUCGAGCGUGAGCGUCGCGAACAGAUGGAACUCUUGGACGAAACCGAGUCGCUAGGAGGUGGCCGAAGGCGCGGCAGUAAGCCACGUCACGGCAGCGGUAGCAGUAGUGCCGGCGCCGGCGGUAGCAGCGGCCCUAUGUCGCGCAGCAUGACACAUCUGGCCAGCGGGCGCGCCAAAUACACACUCAGCAGCAGCAGUACUGGUGGCGGCGGCGGUGGCGUUGGCGUCAUGUCAAACAGUUUUCGUCCGCUGAGCGGUGGCCAACGUGAUACCACUUGUAAGAGUUUGACACAGUUAAACAAUUCGUGGUCGAGCGCUACACCGCGCUCUACACUGGGCUUACAGACAGCUGCUACUAGAAAGUAUCUGCAAUCAUCAUUAGCUUCAUCACCAUCAGCGAUUGGGACUAAACGCAGCGAGCAGCUACUAAAUCAUCUUACUAACCCCUACCGUUUCGAUCCAAACUCAUUAUUGAUCAUGAAUUCUAGUUUCUCAAUAACAACAGGUUCACGUUCUGGAAAUGUCACCCCAGGCGGCAACAUCAGCACUUCAAGACCGGGUAGUGCAAUGUCCACAUCCACAAAUUUGUCCACAUCUGGUUACGUGGCUAGAAGAUCCGUACCGGCUACACGUAAGCAACGGCCAGCUAGUAUUGCCGGUACUGGCAUGUCGCUGGAGGACCUUAAUAAACACAAAAAAGAUAACAGGCCGCCAGUGAAGGCCUCAACACCUUCAUCUACGACAACAUCAGCACAAAAUACCCCCAAACGAACAUCAAAUUUGAUGUCAACCUCAAUGAUUGUGUCAUCGUCUACACGUUUGUCUAGCGCUGAGAAGAAAACUCCAGCCAAACGGGAGUCAGUGACACCCAAAGCCUCCACACCCAAAUCGCUUUCAAAAACGUCCAGUUCGGAUCGCUUAAACAGAGCUGGCAAGGAUAUUAUGAGUAAAUCGUUAAUCUCACCAUCUCCAAGUCAGACACUUUCACGUAGUGAAAAGGACAAGUCGACUACAAUUGAACGCAAAAAAGAGGAGGCACCAGCUCCUCCGGUGCAAAGCAAAGACGAAAAGAAUUCAUUGAAUAUAGCGAAAUCCGAAGCUGAGUCUUCGGCCGAAGCAUUGAUUGCACCCAAUGAGCCAGCAGCAGCAAUAGCCGCUGAAGCAGUAAGCUCAGAGCCUGCAGCAACUACAGCUGAAAAUGUUGAAGCGGUGGUGUCAGAGGCAACUCUUAUUGAAACAAAGACGCAGCAGUUGAUCGACGCUGAGUCUGUUGAGUUGAAUCAAGCCAACACCGUUGCCUUGCCACCAGUAAAGCAAGAUCAGACGGCAGCAGCACAGCCACCGCCCCAACCACAACCACGCUCACAAAACGGCAGCAAAGAGAAUUCAGAAGUGCGUGAACUUACGCCACCAACACAAAAUGGUGACAAUAAUGAUUUGAUGACCGCUUCAAUGAUCGCCAGAAAUAAGAUCACAACUGAAGAGGAGGCGAAGGCUGCAUUGGCUGAACGUCGCCGUCUAGCACGUGAGGAGGCUGAGCGACAGGCCGAAUUGGAGCGUCAACGCUUGGAGGCCGAACGCCUUGCCGAACUGAAGCGUCAAGAGGAGGAGGCCGAACGCCAGCGCGCUUUCGAAGAGGAAGCCAAUCGUUUGGCUGAGGAACAACGUCGUGCCGAGGAAGAGCGUUUGCGCCAAGCUAUUGAAGAGGCAAAGCAAAAGGAAGAAGAAGAGCGUCGCAAACGUGAAGAGGAAGAGAAACAACGCGUGCAACGUGAGGAGGCUGAAAAGAAGGCCAAGGAGGAAGCGGAGAAGCAGCGCAUUGAGGUUGCCGAACGUCUUAAACGAGAGGAGAAGGAGCGCGAAGAACGACGCAAACGCGUUGAGGCGAUCAUGUCGCGCACACGUAAAGGUGCCAGUGGUGGUGGAAGCGCGACAACACCCAACUCCACGCCAGUAAAGGAAAGCACAACGCCCAAACCGGCAGCUGACAAUUUGCCACAGGAAAUACCACAAGAACAAUCCUUUACUACUACAACAACAGCAGUGACUAAUGCUGUCAGCAGCACUGACAGUAGCUCCACAUCGGGCUCCACCACGACUGCGACCACACCAAAUCCGCCACAAAACAUUGCUACAGUAGUGCCCACAGCUGUGGUGACCGUGUUGCCCACAAGUGAAAAGGUGGAGCCGCAGAAUACGCAGGCUAUGUACGAGCAAGCUGUAAUUGACAAGGAAGCUGCGCUCAUAAACAGUUUCUCCAAUAUGCUAAUCGAUGAGAAUGCGAAAAAUCUGCAUCAACAGCAACAGCAACAACAUUUCCAGCAACCAACACAAAUUCUCGAGUGAUAUCAAUAACCUGCAGGAUGCCGUAACACCAGCAACAAAUCAGUUAAUUGAUUUAAGCAUUGAGUCACAAGAUAUCAACAAUGCAGUUAACUUCAACAACAACAACAGUUUGUUAAAUACAACAACCGCAACACUAGUCACUGCAGAUAGUCACGAUAAUAAAGAUAUUUCACUACUGUGAGUCUGAGCGUGCUAGCAGCCUGCAAUUAUUGGACGCGCAAACUAAAAACUGCAACAAAGAUUAAAUGCUGUACAACAAUGAGAAUUAGGAGAAAAAAAUCUAUUGAUUGUGGCGCGUUAGCGUUUAUUGAAGUUUUGUGUGUAUGUGCGACAAUUUAUGGUUACUUGACAUUUAAGGCGUAAUUAAUACGAGUUUAACUAAUUUAAAAUUAUAUAUAUAUAAUAUAGAAGAUGCAAAAAAAUGCUAAAGCCAAGUGCAUAUUAAGAAAAUAUUAGCAAAACAAACACUGCUUAAGCUCAUUUGAUAUAUUUAAAAAAUGUGAAGGAAUGAGAAGCAUAAGCAUGAAAAAAUAAAACCUUUAAUUAGGAUAUAAAUAUUAAAACACAAUAAAUUAUGAUGAAAGGGAAAAGCAUAAAAACUACGGCAAUUGUUCCUCCCGUAACAAAAAAGAAAGCAAAAACUAAGCAUAGUUAGGAGUGAAAAUAUGAAGCAUACAUAAUCCAUUGCUUGAAAAUACAUACAUAUGUAUAUUGUGUAUGCUAAAUCAAGCAAAACAGAAAAACGAGCAAGCAAAUGAGAUACGAUUAACUGCAUAGUACCGAAAAGCGAACACUUUCGAAAAGAGCAACGCAUUAAAUUUAUAAAAAUCAUUAAAACUAUUAUAAAAAACGCAUACUUUCUGCUCACCAUUAAGCAAAAAAUCAAAAACACCUAAGAACGGCUAUGAAAGCUUAAACGUUUUCAUACAAAUGGUAAAUUUCCAUAUUGCGCAAGUUCAAGCAGAGUUAAAAAAAAAACCUAUGCAAUACAGUCCAUUUAGCUUACAUGCAUAUUCAACCAUAUAAUGGAAGAGAUAUAUUAAGCAAGAGCGUAAAGUAACUAUUUCAGGUAACUAAGGGAACAUUGACACGAUGCGGAAGAGUAUAUAAAUUAAAUAUACCCAAUAUAUAUUUGCAAAUAUAUUAUACCAAAUUUAAAGCAAUCCUGUACGCACACGCCGACGCUCGUGCGAGCCGCAGUGCUACAUACGCUUUAUAAACUGUCUGUAGACUAUGGUUCAUGCGAGUUCACUUUCUGCGUAAAACAUAAGCAGUCAACAAAUGCAUAUUUGUAUUGGGCUUUAAAGUAAAACUUGGAUAUGUAUUUUCCGUCUUAUUUUAGUACUUUUUUAUAAUUAUUUCAUACAUACCCUGUAUGCUGCAAGUGUGUUUGCCCGUGUCACGACAAUAUUUCUUAUUUGCGAUAUGCUAAGAAAUGUGCUGAUUUUUACUGGUAAUUUUGCACUUGAUGAUGUUGAUUUAAGCCAAGGGCUAAAAAUAUGCAUCUAUAUUUCUUGCUUUAAUAUAAUAUAGGUGAAAUUUAUCUUCUAUCUAGCAAAUGCUUUACACCCCCGAUAAAAUUGUUGGGUUUUUAGCUAUUUUCGUCGAUUCGCUCAUUAUAUUUUAAACUAAUUCAUGUUUUCAAAAAGGCUAAGCGCAUUAAAGGUGCGUCACUUUAAAAUAACGGUAUUAAUUCUAAAUGUUGAAAUAAUCAAUUGAGUAAAGCUUCCUCCUCUUAAAUGAGCAUAUUUAGUAUGGUAAAAGAAAGUAGUCGAUUUUUAGUGUUAGAAUCUGCUAAAUUGGCUUGUACCUUAGGCACCAGACACGCAAGCAGGCAACACUUGGCAGUUAUAUAGUAAGAAGCCAGUUUGGGCAGCCAGUUAAUUAUGCAAAGAAUUGGUGGCUAGACAAAAAAAAACUAUUUAACUGAAAAGUAAAGUGGUGGACGCGCUUUAAAAUAUUAUGAAUCAAAAGAAAGCGAAGCAAAGUAAUGUAUAUCAGCAAUUUAGUGUGCGAGUUAGAUUAUAUAUAUAUAUAUAUUUAUGUGUAGUUAAUGUAUUUUCCGAUUUUUUGAUGCAUAUAUAUAUUUUUUAAUUUUUAUGUUAUCUAAAUUUACAUUUACAUAUACAUAUAUUUGCAAAGUUUAUACUUAAAAAUUAGAAAUGAAAAAAAAAAAAUCAAACAAAAUGUUUUAAUUUGUUAAUAUAACUUAUUUAUAUAUACACAUUGUAAUAGCUGAUACAACAUUAAAAAAUAAUUUUUUCAUAUAAUAACUUCGAGCGUAUAAAGCUUAUUUAAAAGAAACCAGAAAACGCAUGGACUGAAAUUAUGGUGGUCGUUUCACGAUUAAAGUUAAAAAUAUUUGAAUAUUGUAUUAUUUCACAAUUUCACGCUUAAAAGUCAACCACGCAUUAUGAAUAUUCGAACGCUUUGCGAAUAUAUUUAUACAUCUGUGUGUCGUUAUUUGGAGUUACUGGUGAUUCCAAAAAAAACACACUCAUUUUCACCAAAAAACGUAGUCGGCUUUUUUAAAAAUGCGGCACACGAAUAGCGUUUUUUUUUUCGACAUCACUGGUGCAUCGCUGAGCGUUUGCACAUUUACAUUUGACGAUAGAGGAGCCUAAUGAGUAGUUAGUCAAGCGCCAGGUAUGCCCUAAAUAAAUGCAUGUAUUGAAUUUUAUGUUCACCGCUAAUUAUAUAUUUUUAAGUCUGCAAUCGGAAACUGUAAACUUAACGAAAUUAUGCUAAGUAAUUUAAAUUAUUGUUAUAUUAAGUAAAAGAGCAACGCCAAAAUAGAUUUUUUAUAACCAAUAAAAAUGUUUAUUUAAUUAAAUUAAUGUUUCAAAUUGCAUUCAGUUGCAAUUAACUUUUAACAUACAUUUCGUUCUAAAAAUUGUUAUUGUAAUCCCGAUAAAUGCCUUUGAUUGUUUAAACUUUGCGAAGCGCUCAUAGAGCCUUCAUCUGUGGCACUUAUUUGUUUUGGCGCUGUGCUUUCCACUUUACGAAUAUGAUAUUAACAAAAAUAUUGUAUGAAAAUUAACUGCAAAUCACCUGCAAUAACAAUGCUGUUACAAUUACUAUAAUUUGCAUAUCAGCAUACAAGCAUCUGCAGCAAAAUGUACUAUGUAACUAAUAAACGAAAGCUUAUUUAAAAUAUUUGAAAAACGAUGACAUGAGUGGAACUGCAAAGAUUCGGAUGCAUGUCACUUGGGCAUGCAAAGCAAAAUAUUUGGAAAUGAGUGCGCUUAAUGUGUUGGUCAACUAGCACAUUUUAUUUUUACGUCUACAUCUUGUCCGUUUGCAUCUUAUGUAUAAUUUAAAGCGAUUUACUAAAAUAUACAACAUAUAUUUUAUAACUAAAAAAUACAAACUUACACCAACAUUGCCUAAGUUUCAGCUUCAUAACUAAAUCGAGUGAUUAAUAUUGAGCUAAUACAAACAAAAAAGUAAUUAAAACUAUCAUGAGUGCACCGCAUAAAUGCAUAGUGCUGCAUGUAUCUAAACUUAUUUAACUGUAAUUCCCAAUUAAAAAGGUCUAUCUAUCGUUAUCGUUACAUUAAAAUAAUUAUUAAUAAUAUUAAAAUUUAUUAAAUUAUAAAUCGAUGUAACUAACGUACGAAAACAAGUAAUCAUGCAAACUGACAAAGCGAUGCCGAAAAUAAAUUAUAAAAAUUGACUUGAAGCAACACAGAAAGGAAAAUUUAAUAAAGACAAGGAGAAGAAAAUAAA
rnacentral:misc_RNA from 1 species